GAGAGAAGGAAGAGGAGUGUGUCCCAGGGGAAGGGAAAACCACCCCCUACUGCCGGCGUGUCACUCCAGGCCUGGGCCCUCAUUCUCCAUCCCACAGCCAUCCUUUGAGCAGGACAUUCAGCAAGUGCUCCCCAAUGCCUGCAUCCUUUUCUCAUUGUAACUAUCAUGUGACACCUAACUUUGGCCAGUCGUAGAGUCAUGACUUUACCCUUUUCAUGUUCUGAGUUAGAAUCACAGGCCUUUGGCCUGGGAAAGACACUGGAAAUCAUUUGUCCAAAAUUGUCUUUUUGCAGAUGAGGAAAUUAAAGUCCAGAAGCCUAAGGGGCUUGUCCAAGGUCACACAGCAAAGAAGCCAAGGCUAAAACCCAGGUGUUCUGAUGUCCAGCCCAGUGUCCAUUUCAUUAAAGUGGGUAGGGGUCUGGGUCUUAGGUAUGUGUAUACACACACACACACACACACACACACACACUCAAAUUUCCAUAUGCUUCCAAAUCUAGGCGUGCUUUCAUUAUUUUAUUCAUUGUCCCAGCAACUAGGCCUGGAAAAUGAAUAAUAUAUCUCAGUUUUUACCAAUGAAGAAUCUGAACCUCAAAGAAGCUAAAGGAUAGUAAUCAAGAUCACCCACGUUGUAGCAAAGCUGGUAUAAAACUUGCCUCCUGACUCCCAAGACAGCAUGCUCCCCAGGGCCCCACACUGCCUCAGAGCCAGCUGCCCUGAGCUCUUGGCUAUGACUGCUAUAAAGGAGCCAGGAUCCCCAUCCAUAUUUAUGGGAAAACUUUUGGCUCAACUGCAUUAUGCUUAGAAGUCUCAACAUUUUUUUUUUUUAAUUUAUCAGAGGAAAGAGAGUAACAAUGGAGUUGAUGGGCAAUUUGUGUAAUUAACACCCAAACACUCCCUGUACUAUGAGGUUUUUUGAUUCAGUGCAUUUUCCUAACAGAUGCUUUUUUUACUGGUCAAGUGACAUUAUCAGGAGGAUUAAAAUGGAGAGGAAAGAUGCUUGCUGGAGGAGAGUGGAGGGUAGGCAUGAUUUGGGUUUGUCAUUAGUGAUCUUAGGUACACUUUGACGUACCUAUGAGCCUGCUUCCUGCAAAGAUUUGAAUGAUGAAACCAGUGAGAUCCACACAAGGAGAUGGACAUCUGCUUCUAAAUUAGUGCUCAUUUAGCUUGUGUGGAAAUGAUUUGUGACUCUCAAGACAACAAAACCGAACACUGUUUUUUUUUUUCCUAUGACCAUGACUUUUUACUCUUUUCUCAGUGGGCCAGAUGGACACAUCAGAGUGGCCUUGCUGGGCUUCAGAGGAACGAUGACUGUUCCUGUUCUCGUCAAUGUUUGAAAAGAUAUUGUUACUGCUUCAUCUCAGUGUAAUCAUAACACCCAAAUCAAGGUCCUGAGAAAUAUCUAGCCCCUUCCAAAACACUCAUAGAAACAUGUAAUUGGCUCUUCUGGGGUGCUUACAUCAGGACUGAUGUUCACACCAAUUGGUAGUCCACCCCAAUUCAGCUGUGCUGGUUAUUAAAACACUGAUGUAUUUCCAGAUCAUCUGGAAAGUAGCUGGGUCUCUGAGCCCUACCAGUUCCUCAUCACUUCUCCAGCUGCUCCAGGGUCAGGGAGCCUAAAAGAGCACCAAUACAGAGCUGCCCUGGCACCUACUAAUCUGCCAGUCAGACCCCCAUGGCUCCUGCAUGCCUGCCCUGUUCCUGCAUGUUCCCCAGCUGAACAUUCUGUACUGCUGAGGGAGACAGCAUCUCUGAUGGUUACAGACCCCAGCAGGUAGAUAUCCACUCUAUAGUUCCCCCUGAGGGACCCGGAAUGACUGGUUGCUCAAUGGAUUUAUUAUCACUCUGGGUCCGCUUGUUGGCCAUGAUGUUGACAUGGGCAAGGCCUGGAGCAGGGUGUGCUAAGCUUUGCCUCCCACAGUGAUCAGGUGGGCAAUGCUGGAGACUGUCCACUCAGACCCUGGCUACAGGGUCAAGGUGAAGUCAAGUGUGGUGGAAAGUAGAAGUCCAAAGUAAGUAUUUAAACCAGUGCCUCUUGAUCCAAGAGUGACUGACAGGGCCCAAAGCCAGAAGGAAAAAAAGAACCAGGGCAGGCAAGAGGGAAUGAGAAGCAGACAAAAAAAUCUAGCUAUUUCUCCCCCUCAGUCAGAGUCCCUGGAUAUACAAGAGUCUAUGAGUUCUUUAUAAUAAUUUAAAUGAUCUGUUUUCAUUUUGAGGAUAAUCCUAAAGAAAGACAUUUUUACCUCUACAUUUGGGCUUGUGUUUUCAAUCACUGUGGCACAAAAGAGAGGUGCUUUAAUUGUCAUGACACAUGAAAGAAGAAGUGAGGUAAAUCUGGUGCAGAGUCAGGUCCCUGAGGGCCAAGAGACCUGAUAAGAGAAGGGUUUGCAGCAGUGGCAUAGCAACUCUUGGGAAUAUUGAUUCAUCACACAGCCUAUGUAGUAGGGCAUAUCAACCUAAAAAGACCUAGAUUUGAUUUCUAGGGCCGCUGUAGCAGAGGACCGCAGACUGGGUGGCUUAUUCUCUCACCAUAUCCAUAUUGGUGGCCAGAGGCCUGAGAUCAAGGUGUUAGUUGGGCCAUGCUCCCUCUUAGACUCUAAGAAGAAUCCUUCCUUGCCCCUUCUUAGCUUCUGGUGGCGGCCAUUGAUCCUUGGCAUCCCUUGUCUUAUAGCUACGUCACUCUAGUCUGCCUUUGCCAUCACGUGGCCCUCUCUCUGUGUGGCUUUCUCUUUUUUCCUCAUUAGAACACCAGUCCCAUUGGAUUGUGACACCCUAAUGACCUCAACUUGAUUACAUCUGCAGAGACCCUAUAUCAGUUAGCAUUCACAGGUACCCAGGGGUAGGGCUUCAGCCUGUCUUUUUGGAGGAUACAAUUCAACCCAAAACAGAACCUGAGGAAGAGCAAUCUGUGCCCUAUUUGUCCUGUAAGCGGUGACAUUGUUUCAGUAAACAGCACUUCCAUCACAACGAAUUGUCGCUUAAUUUGAAUUGCAUGGUUUUGAACAUUUGUAUUUAUAUGCAAAUAAUUAUUGAAUUAUUUUGUUUGGUUUUGAUAGUCAUGCAAGAGCUAUAAGCAUAAGGAAUUUAUACCCACUUUUAUGUUAUACAUUUAAAAAUAACAUAAUAUAAGCAAUUUGUUGGCUCAGGUAGUUCUUGACAAUUUUCACUCAUUCUAUUUAAAGUACCUGCAUGUUAUUUCAAUACUAGAGCCCCUGGGGUCUAGAUGAAUUCCAGAUGUGAGAGGAGAUGGUGGUUUUCGAAAGCUUGUAUGUGUGCGUAAAUCUGUUAAAAGGAGCUUACCUAGGCAUGUGGUCAGAUUUCAAAUUCCCUGCAGGCUUGUUUACCUCUUACAGACCAGAGGGUGCCCCAGGGUAAGCGUUGGACUUUGACUUGGCCUAGAGUCAAGGUCAAUUCCCUUACUGUCUUCUGCCCCCACCCCCAUGCCUUUCAGCAGUAAUAUCCAGGCCAGAGAGCAGCCAGAUUCUGGCUUGAGUCCCACAGGGAGGUCUGGCAUGGAAACGGCCAAGCUGGAGUUCCCAUCGUAGCUCAGCAGAAACUAAUCUGACUAGCACCCAUGAGGACGCGGGUUCAAUCCCUGGUCUUGCUCAGUGGGUUAAAGAUCCUGUGUUGCUAUGAGCAGCGGUGUAGGUUGCAGGUACAGCUCGGAUCUUACGUUACUAUGGCUGUGGCAUAGGCCACAGCUACAGCUCCAAUUGGACUCCUAGCCUGGGAACAUCCAUAUGCUGCUGGUGGAGCCCUAAAAAGACAAAAACAAAACAAAACAAAACAAAACAAAACAGCCGAGCUCCAGAAAGCUGGAUGAUUAGAGAAGAACUGGCUUCCACGACAAGUCCACAGUCCCCCUCCCCCAAAUCAGUAGAGCACUCAGGGACACUGAACCCUACUCCAUUGACCCUCAUGGUCCUGAGGACAGGUUUGCCCUCAGCACUAUAACCAGAGAGUCUGAAUGUCAAUCCAGAGUGUUCACUUCGUGAUCUUUGAUCCAGAAAUGGAUUGAACAUUAGAUGGAAUCCUCAGUACCUACCUGUCCUUAAAUGCAGACCCCUGGAGGGCAAGGAUAGGAUCUGGGAGACUAGCUUUAAAGUCACUUGCAACAAAUAACAAUUUUUUUGGCUCUCUCUCGCUCUCUCUUUUUUUCUUAAUAUGGCUGUACCCAUGACAUAUGAUGUUCCCAAGCUAGGGACUGAAUCCAAGGUGCAGCUGUGACCCAAGCUGCAGCUGCAGCAAUGCCCGAGCCUUUAACCCACUGUGCUGG
rnacentral:lncRNA from 1 species